rnacentral:rRNA from 1 species
AAUGAGCCUGCGAGUUGUGGUGUCUGGCAAGGUUAAGCAAACGCGAAGCCGUAGCGAAAGCGAGUCUGAAUAGGGCGCUUAGUCAGAUGCUGCAGACCCGAAACGAAGUGAUCUAUCCAUGAGCAAGUUGAAGCUAGUGUAAGAACUAGUGGAGGACUGAACCCAUAGGCGUUGAAAAGCCCCGGGAUGACUUGUGGAUAGGGGUGAAAGGCCAAUCAAACUUCGUGAUAGCUGGUUCUCUCCGAAAUAUAUUUAGGUAUAGCGUUGUGUCGUAAUAUAAGGGGGUAGAGCACUGAAUGGGCUAGGGCAUACACCAAUGUACCAAACCCUAUCAAACUCCGAAUACCUUAUAUGUAAUCACAGCAGUCAGGCGGCGAGUGAUAAAAUCCGUCGUCAAGAGGGAAACAACCCAGAUUACCAGCUAAGGUCCCUAAAUCUUACUUAAGUGGAAAACGAUGUGAAGUUACUUAAACAACCAGGAGGUUGGCUUAGAAGCAGCCAUCCUUUAAAGAAAGCGUAAUAGCUCACUGGUCUAGUGAUUUUGCGCGGAAAAUAUAACGGGGCUAAAGUAAGUACCGAAGCUGUAGACUUGCACACAACUUAGAUUAUUUAAGUUUAGAAUAAGUAGUUUAAGUUGUGUGCAAGUGGUAGGAGAGCGUUCUAUUUGCGUCGAAGGUAUACCGGUAAGGAGUGCUGGAGCGAAUAGAAGUGAGCAUGCAGGCAUGAGUAGCGAUAAUUAAUGUGAGAAUCAUUAACGCCGUAAACCCAAGGUUUCCUACGCGAUGCUCGUCAUCGUAGGGUUAGUCGGGUCCUAAGUCGAGUCCGAAAGGGGUAGACGAUGGCAAAUUGGUUAAUAUUCCAAUACCAACAUUAGUGUGCGAUGGAAGGACGCUUAGGGCUAAGGGGGCUAGCGGAUGGAAGUGCUAGUCUAAGGUCGUAGGAGGUUAUACAGGCAAAUCCGUAUAACAAUACUCCGAGAACUGAAAGGCUUUUUGAAGUCUUCGGAUGGAUAGAAGAACCCCUGAUGCCGUCGAGCCAAGAAAAGUUUCUAAGUUUAGCUAAUGUUGCCCGUACCGUAAACCGACACAGGUGGGUGGGAUGAGUAUUCUAAGGCGCGUGGAAGAACUCUCUUUAAGGAACUCUGCAAAAUAGCACCGUAUCUUCGGUAUAAGGUGUGGUUAGCUUCGUACUAGGAUUUACUCCGAAAGCGAAGAAACUUACAACAAAGAGUCCCUCCCGACUGUUUACCAAAAACACAGCACUCUGCUAACUCGUAAGAGGAUGUAUAGGGUGUGACGCCUGCCCGGUGCUCGAAGGUUAAUUGAUGGGGUUAGCAUUAGCGAAGCUCUUGAUCGAAGCCCGAGUAAACGGCGGCCGUAACUAUAACGGUCCUAAGGUAGCGAAAUUCCUUGUCGGUUAAAUACCGACCUGCAUGAAUGGCGUAACGAGAUGGGAGCUGUCUCAAAGAGGGAUCCAGUGAAAUUGUAGUGGAGGUGAAAAUUCCUCCUACCCGCGGCAAGACGGAAAGACCCCGUGGACCUUUACUACAGCUUGACACUGCUACUUGGAUAAGAAUGUGCAGGAUAGGUGGGAGGCUUUGAGUAUAUGACGCCAGUUGUAUAUGAGCCAUUGUUGAGAUACCACUCUUUCUUAUUUGGGUAGCUAACCAGCUUGAGUUAUCCUCAAGUGGGACAAUGUCUGGUGGGUAGUUUGACUGGGGCGGUCGCCUCCCAAAUAAUAACGGAGGCUUACAAAGGUUGGCUCAGAACGGUUGGAAAUCGUUCGUAGAGUAUAAAGGUAUAAGCCAGCUUAACUGCAAGACAUACAAGUCAAGCAGAGACGAAAGUCGGUCUUAGUGAUCCGGUGGUUCUGUGUGGAAGGGCCAUCGCUCAAAGGAUAAAAGGUACCCCGGGGAUAACAGGCUGAUCUCCCCCAAGAGCUCACAUCGACGGGGAGGUUUGGCACCUCGAUGUCGGCUCAUCGCAUCCUGGGGCUGGAGCAGGUCCCAAGGGUAUGGCUGUUCGCCAUUUAAAGCGGUACGCGAGCUGGGUUCAGAACGUCGUGAGACAGUUCGGUCCCUAUCUGCCGUGGGCGUAAGAAGAUUGAAGAGAUUUGACCCUAGUACGAGAGGACCGGGUUGAACAAACCACUGGUGUAGCUGUUGUUCUGCCAAGAGCAUCGCAGCGUAGCUAAGUUUGGAAAGGAUAAACGCUGAAAGCAUCUAAGCGUGAAGCCAACUCUAAGAUGAAUCUUCUCUAAGCUCUCUAGAAGACUACUAGUUUGAUAGGCUGGGUGUGUAAUGGAUGAAAGUCCUUUAGCUGACCAGUACUAAUAGAGCGUUUGGCUUAUCUUUAAUAAAGCAU